rnacentral:rRNA from 1 species
GACGAGUCUCACGAACGUUAUUCGGAAUUACUGGGCUUAAAGGGUGCGUAGGCGGUGAAGUAAGUCGGGUGUGAAAUACCAUAGCUUAACUAUGGAACUGCACUCGAUACUACUUUGCUAGAGUAAGACAGAGGUGAGUGGAACUGAGGGUGGAGCGGUGAAAUUCGUAGAUAUUCGCAAGAACACCAGUGGCGAAGGCGGCUCACUGGCCCGAUACUGACGCUGAGGCACGAAAGCGUGGGGAGCAAACAGG